UUUUGUGGCUAAACCUCCAUGCCAAAGCCUGAUCUCAUCAGAUCUCAAAAGCUAUGCAAGGCUGGGCCUUGUUACUACUUGGAUGGGAGACCACUGGGAAUUCCAGGUGCUACAGUGA
rnacentral:rRNA from 1 species